CUAAGAAUCUUCCGCAAUGGGCGAAAGCCUGACGGAGCGAUGCCGCGUGAUCGAUGAAGGUCGAGAGAUUGUAAAGAUCUUUUACUGGGGAGGAAUAACCAUGGGAGGGAAUGCCUGUGGGAUGACGUUACCCAGUGAAUAAGCCCCGGCUAAUUACGUGCCAGCAGCCGCGGUAACACGUAAGGGGCGAGCGUUGUUCGGAAUUAUUGGGCGUAAAGGGCACGCAGGCGGUUGUGCAAGUCUGAUGUGAAAGACCUGGGCUUAACUCAGGGAACGCGUUGGAAACUGCACGACUAGAGUAUUAGAGGGGGAGUCGGAAUUCCUAGUGUAGGGGUGAAAUCUGUUGAUAUUAGGAAGAACACCGGUGGCGAAGGCGGACUCCUGGCUGGAUACUGACGCUGAGGUGCGAAAGCAUAGGGAGCAAACAGG
rnacentral:rRNA from 1 species